AUUGAACGCUGGCGGCAGGCCUAACACAUGCAAGUCGAACGCGUGGCGGACGGGUGAGUAAUGUCUGGGAAACUGCCUGAUGGAGGGGGAUAACUACUGGAAACGGUAGCUAAUACCGCAUACCAUCGGAUGUGCCCAGAUGGGAUUCGCUAGUAGGUGGGGUACCGGCUCACCUCGGCUACGAUCCCUAGCUGGUCUGAGCGGAUGCCCAGCCACACUGGAACUGAGACACGGUCCAGACUCCUGCGGGAGGCAGCAGUGGGGAAUAUUGCACAAUGGGCGCAAGCCUGAUGCAGCCAUGCCGCGUGUAUGAAGGAGGGCUUCGGGUUGUAAAGUACUUUCAGCGGGGAGGCGUUACCCGCAGAAGAAGCACCGGCUAACUCCGUGCCAGCAGCCGCGGUAAUUC
rnacentral:rRNA from 1 species